GUUCCUCGGUCGAAAGACUGAGGAGGAAAGGUGGCGCAAGCUGCCGCUCUUGGAGGGGCUCGCGGCCUAUCAGCUAGUAGGCGGGGUAACGGCCCACCAAGGCUAUGACGGGUAGCUGGUCUGAGAGGACGACCAGCCACACGGGGACUGAGACACGGCCCCGACUCCUACGGGAGGCAGCAGUGGGGAAUUUUCCGCAAUGGGCGAAAGCCUGACGGAGUGACGCCGCGUGUGGGACGAAGGCCUUCGGGUCGUAAACCACUGUCAGUGGGAAAGAUGGGUGUCGGUGUUAAUACCAUCGGCAUCUGACGGUACCUGCAGAGGAAGCCCCGGCCAACUCUGUGCCAGCAGCCGCGGUAAGACAGAGGGGGCAAGCGUUGCUCGGAAUUACUGGGCGUAAAGGGCGCGUAGGCGGGAUGGUAAGUCGGUCGUGAAAUCCCUCGGCUCAACCGAGGAACGUCGAUCGAUACUACCGUUCUUGAGGGUUGCAGAGGAGACUGGAAUUCCCGGUGUAGCGGUGAAAUGUGUAGAGAUCGGGAGGAACACCGGUGGCGAAGGCGGGUCUCUGGGCAAUUCCUGACGCUGAGGCGCGAAAGCGUGGGGAGCAAACGGGAUUAGAUACCCCGGUAGUCCACGCUGUAGACGAUGAGCACUAGGUGUGGGGGGGUUCAGUCCCUUCCGUGCCGCAGCUAACGCAUUAAGUGCUCCGCCUGGGGAGUACGGCCGCAAGGUUGAAACUCAAAGGAAUUGACGGGGGCCCGCACAAGCGGUGGAGCAUGUGGUUCAAUUCGAUGCAGAGCGAAGAACCUUACCUGGGCUUGACAUGCAGAAAGUAGAAACCGGAAACGGCAACGACCUGUUAAGUCAGGAACCUGCACAGGUGGUGCAUGGCUGUCGUCAGCUCGAGCCGUGAGGUGUUGGGUUAAGUCCCGCAACGAGCGCAACCCUCACUCUAUGUUGCCAUCGGGUAAUGCCGGGCACUCUUAGGGAACUGCCGGCGAAGAGCUGGAGGAAGGGGGGGAUGACGUCAAGUCCGUAUGCCCCUUAUGUCCAGGGCUACACACAUGCUACAAUGGCCGAUACAGAGGGUUCCCAACCCGCGAGGGGGAGGCAAUCCCACAAAGUCGGUCUCAGUUCGGAUUGCAGGCUGCAACUCGCCUGCGUGAAGUCGGAAUCGCUAGUAAGCGCAGAUCAGCAGGCUGCGCUGAAUACGUUCCCGGGCCUUGUACUCACCGCCCGUCACAU
rnacentral:rRNA from 1 species